UACGAAGGGGGCUAGCGUUGCUCGGAAUCACUGGGCGUAAAGGGUGCGUAGGCGGGUCUUUAAGUCAGGGGGUGAAAUCCUGGAGCUCAACUCCAGAACUGCCUUUGAUACUGAAGAUCUUGAGUUCGGGAGAGGUGAGUGGAAACUGCGAGUGUAGAGGUGAAAUUCGUAGAUAUUCGCAAGAACACCAGUGGCGAAGGCGGAGCUCGACCUGGCCCAGCA
rnacentral:rRNA from 1 species